AUUGAACGCUGGCGGCAGGCCUAACACAUGCAAGUCGAGCGGAUGAAGGGAGCUUGCUCCUGGAUUCAGCGGCGGACGGGUGAGUAAUUCCUAGGAAUCUGCCUGGUAUUGGGGGAUAACGUCCGGAAACGGGCCCUAAUACCGCAUACGUCCUGAGUGAGAAACGGGGGGUCCUCCGGCCCCAAAGUGUCCGAAUAACCUAUGGUGGAUUAGCUAGUUGGUGAGGUUAAGGGCUACCAAGGCCGAGAUCCGGAACUGGGCUGAGAGGAUGAUCAGUCACACUGGAACUGAGACACGGUCCAGACUCCUACGGGAGGCAGCAGUGGGGAAUAUUGGACAAUGGGCGAAAGCCUGAUCCAGCAAUGCCGCGUGUGUGAAGAAGGUCUUCGGAUUGUAAAGCACUUUAAGUUGGGAGGAAGGGCAGUAAGUUAAGACCUUGAUGUUUUGACGUUACCAACUGAAAAAGCACCGGCUAACUUCGUG
rnacentral:rRNA from 1 species